GCUGGCGGCGUGCCUAAUACAUGCAAGUCGAGCGAAUGGAUUGAGAGCUUGCUCUCAAGAAGUUAGCGGCGGACGGGUGAGUAACACGUGGGUAACCUGCCCAUAAGACUGGGAUAACUCCGGGAAACCGGGGCUAAUACCGGAUAACAUUUUGAACUGCAUGGUUCGAAAUUGAAAGGCGGCUUCGGCUGUCACUUAUGGAUGGACCCGCGUCGCAUUAGCUAGUUGGUGAGGUAACGGCUCACCAAGGCAACGAUGCGUAGCCGACCUGAGAGGGUGAUCGGCCACACUGGGACUGAGACACGGCCCAGACUCCUACGGGAGGCAGCAGUAGGGAAUCUUCCGCAAUGGACGAAAGUCUGACGGAGCAACGCCGCGUGAGUGAUGAAGGCUUUCGGGUCGUAAAACUCUGUUGUUAGGGAAGAACAAGUGCUAGUUGAAUAAGCUGGCACCUUGACGGUACCUAACCAGAAAGCCACGGCUAACUACGUGCCAGCAGCCGCGGUAAUACGUAGGUGGCAAGCGUUAUCCGGAAUUAUUGGGCGUAAAGCGCGCGCAGGUGGUUCCUUAAGUCUGAUGUGAAAGCCCACGGCUCAACCGUGGAGGGUCAUUGGAAACUGGGAGACUUGAGUGCAGAAGAG
rnacentral:rRNA from 1 species